rnacentral:rRNA from 1 species
CUUUCAGCGAUGGAUAUCUUGGCUCG